rnacentral:misc_RNA from 1 species
AAGUCGUAACAAGGUUUCCGUAGGUGAACCUGCGGAAGGAUCAUUUCCAAAAAUCAAGCAUUGCCUUAUAAUAAACACCUUUAUGGUGUGUGAACAGUGAAGCAGUCCCAUUUACUCUGGUACCGAAAACAUCUCGAAUGUCGAAGUAUCAGAGGCCUUGAUGAACCCACAACCUUUAAGGGUGUUUGUUGUAAAAGAGAAAUAUACUUUUGCUUCUUGCAUCUCGAAUGCAUUUACAUAGUAUAUCCUCUUUUCUACAAAAUAAACUCUGAAGGAAGUUAAACGAAAAAAGUCUCAAUAUGUUUCUCUUGAAAAGGACUUCAAAGUCCAACACAAAAGUAAAUAUAUAGACAACUUUUAACGGUGGAUCUCUUGGCUCGU